rnacentral:rRNA from 1 species
AUUGAACGCUGGCGGCAGGCCUAACACAUGCAAGUCGAACGAGUGGCGGACGGGUGAGUAAUGUCUGGGAAACUGCCUGAUGGAGGGGGAUAACUACUGGAAACGGUCGCUAAUACCGCAUACCAUCGGAUGUGCACAUAUGAGAUUAGCUAGUAGGUGGGGUAAAGGCUCACCUAGGCGACGAUCCCUAGCUGGUCUGAGAGGAUGACCAGCCACACUGGGACUGAGACACGGCCCAGACUCCUACGGGAGGCAGCAGUGGGGAAUAUUGCACAAUGGGCGCAAGCCUGAUGCAGCCAGGCCGCGUGUAUGAAGAAGGCCCUAGGGUUGUAAAGUACUUUCAGUGGGGAGGCGUUACCCACAGAAGAAGCACCGGCUAACUCCGUGCCAGCAGCCGCGGUAAUUC